rnacentral:snoRNA from 1 species
ACCCUCCAGAUCCUUUACUCCUCAGACCUAAACACUGGUCUGGGCGGCUACAAAAGGAGAGAAGGUAACACGGGAACAGACUUCAAUUCUUUUGUGACACACGAGCUAGUUAUCACACAAAA